UAGAGUUUUUCUAACCGCGAUCGUGCUCCCAUUGGAUAACUAGCUGUUCAAUGUUCCGGUGCCUAUAUAAGCUGUGGAACAAAGAGAGAAGAGCGUGGAACAAAGAGGAGAGAAGAGAAGCGAUGAAUAGCAAUGUUCAUGUGGUGACUGUGUUGUGUGUGCUUCUUCCCCAAAAGAAGCAAACCACUCACUUCUCCUCGCGCUGCGUGCGGUGUUGGGAGAAUCCGAAAUCGAAACGGAAAUCCGAAGAAGAUGAAGUUGAAGAUUAACGUCGAUACUCUCAAGGGAUUCACUUCGUUAUUCAAAAUAAGGUAUUAUCAAGUGGAGCCAUCUCUAUCCUCGGACCUGGUUGCUCAGCCUCAAAGUUCUUCAUCAACAUAUGGACCUCUGCAUCCAUUCUUGGACAGUGAGUUCGUAUUUAUAUCCUCCUUUGAAAGCAUGUUUGGAAGAUUUGAGGAAGAAUGAGUUGAAGAAUUUUUUUUGAAGAAAUUGAAGGUAAAAUUUGUGUUAUUUAUUUUAAAGAA